AGAAUUGGAUCUGAAAAAAUUGAGCUUCUAACUUAAUUAUGCAAUGAAUUAUU
rnacentral:tRNA from 1 species